CUGUGAGUCACAUAGGAGUUUUGUUAAAAUGGAGAUUCUGAUUCAGGAAGUGUGAGGUGAGGUGAGAUUAUACAUUUCUGACAAGCCCCUAGUGUUGCCCUU
rnacentral:pre_miRNA from 1 species